rnacentral:rRNA from 1 species
UAGGGAAUAUUGCACAAUGGGCGAAAGCCUGAUGCAGCAACGCCGCGUGCGCGAUGAAGGCCUUCGGUUGUAAGCGCUUUCUGGAGGAUGAGAAGGACAGUACUCCAGGAAUAAGGAUCGGCUAACUACGUGCCAGCAGCCGCGGUAACACGUAGGAUCCGAGCGUUAUCCGAAUUUACUGGGCGUAAAGCGCGUGCAGGCGGUUUGGUAAGUUGGAUGUGAAAGCUCCUGGCUCAACUGGGAGAGGCCGUUCAAAACUACCAGACUUGAGGACGGUAGAGGGAGGUGGAAUUCCCGGUGUAGUAGUGAAAUGCGUAGAUAUCGGGAGGAACACCAGUGGGCGAAGGGCGGCCUCCUGGACCGGUUCCUGACGCUCAGACGCGAAAGCUAAGGGAGCGAACGGGAUUAGAAACCCCGGUAGUCUUAGCCGGUAAACGAUGUGAACUUGAUGUCGGUGGGGUAAAUCCAUCGGUGUCGAAGCUACGCGAUAAGUUCACCG